GAUGUGUCACUGUACUAAGAACCGUAACUCUGUAUUGUUUUCAUGAAGAAACAAUUGUUUUGUUUUAUUAAAAUUUGUUUUUAAUUUUGACAGCUACCACAGAAUGCGAUGUCAACAUUAUAGAGAAUUAUGAAGAUAAUCACCAUCAUGUACAGAUUUACAUCAGAUUUCCCAGGAUGUGCUGUAUAACUGUCUAAAUGAUGAAGAAAAUGAAGAUUGAUUGAUAAUCUACAGGAUCCAGAUCCAGAUGAUGUAUUUUAAAGUGUAGCUUUGGAAAAGAAGAGCUCAUCCCCACUAUACAGAUUUUCAUAAGGUGAUAUGCAGUUGUUAAGAAGAAAGUGAAGAAAUCAACUUCUUACAGAUAUACUCCCUUUGAGAAUAAUUGGACCCUGCACUUCACAGAGACAAUGAAAGAAUUCAGAAGCCAGUGUUAAGGU